UACGGGGGGAGCAAGCGUUGUUCGGAUUUACUGGGCGUAAAGGGCGCGUAGGCGGCGCAACAAGUCACUUGUGAAAUCUCCGGGCUUAACCCGGAGCGGCCAAGUGAUACUGUCGUGCUAGAGUGCGGAAGGGGCUACUGGAAUUCUCGGUGUAGCGGUGAAAUGCGUAGAUAUCUGGAGGAACACCGGUGGCGAAGGCGGCAUCCUGGACCGAUAUUGACGCUGAUGCGCGAAAGCCAGGGGAGCAAACGGG
rnacentral:rRNA from 1 species